rnacentral:tRNA from 1 species
UCUAAUAUGGCAGAUUAGUGCAAUGAGCUUAAGAUUCAUAAAUAAAGAUGAUUUUUUUGUUAGAA